CCUACGGGACGCAGCAGUGAGGAAUAUUGGUCAAUGGGCGAGAGCCUGAACCAGCCAAGUCGCGUGAGGGAAGACGGUCCUAUGGAUUGUAAACCUCUUUUGUCGGGGAGCAAAAAGACUACGUGUAGUCCCAAGCGAGAGUACCCGAAGAAAAAGCAUCGGCUAACUCCGUGCCAGCAGCCGCGGUAAUACGGAGGAUGCGAGCGUUAUCCGGAUUUAUUGGGUUUAAAGGGUGCGUAGGCUGAAUGUCAAGUCAGCGGUAAAAAUUCCGGGCUCAACCCGGUCGUGCCGUUGAAACUGGCGUU
rnacentral:rRNA from 1 species